rnacentral:rRNA from 2 species
GAGUUUGAUCAUGGCUCAGAGUGAACGCUGGCGGUAGGCGUAACACAUGCAAGUCGAACGGCAGCACAGUAAGAGCUUGCUCUUAUGGGUGGCGAGUGGCGGACGGGUGAGGAAUACAUCGGAAUCUACCUUUUCGUGGGGGAUAACGUAGGGAAACAUACGCUAAUACCGCAUACGACCUUCGGGUGAAAGCAGGGGACCUUCGGGCCUUGCGCGGAUAGAUGAGCCGAUGUCGGAUUAGCUAGUUGGCGGGGUAAAGGCCCACCAAGGCGACGAUCCGUAGCUGGUCUGAGAGGAUGAUCAGCCACACUGGAACUGAGACACGGUCCAGACUCCUACGGGAGGCAGCAGUGGGGAAUAUUGGACAAUGGGCGCAAGCCUGAUCCAGCCAUACCGCGUGGGUGAAGAAGGCCUUCGGGUUGUAAAGCCCUUUUGUUGGGAAAGAAAAGCAGUCGAUUAAUACUCGGUUGUUCUGACGGUACUCAAAGAAUAAGCAUCCGGCAAC